AAACUAAGAGGUGGAAAGUGACCUUCCAUACGCCUACGGCAUAGGAAACUACGCAAGGGGUGAUAGAAGCCCGUAACAGGUUAAGCUGACGAGGAUAAGAGAUUUCGGAUUGGUCUCCGAACUUAGUAU
rnacentral:ncRNA from 12 species